CCUACGGGAGGCAGCAGUGGGGAAUAUUGGACAAUGGGCGAAAGCCUGAUCCAGCCAUGCCGCGUGUGUGAAGAAGGCCUUCGGGUUGUAAAGCACUUUCAGUGGGGAAGAAAGCCUUGGGGCUAAUACCCUCGAGGAAGGACAUCACCCACAGAAGAAGCACCGGCUAACUCCGUGCCAAGCAGCCGCGGUAAUACGGAGGGUGCGAGCGUUAAUCGGAAUUACUGGGCGUAAAGCGCGCGUAGGCGGUCUGAUAAGCCGGUUGUGAAAGCCCCGGGCUCAACCUGGGAACGGCAUCCGGAACUGUCAGGCUAGAGUGCAGGAGAGGAAGGUAGAAUUCCCGGUGUAGCGGUGAAAUGCGUAGAGAUCGGGAGGAAUACCAGUGGCGAAGGCGGCCUUCUGGACUGACACUGACGCUGAGGUGCGAAAGCGUGGGUAGCAAACAGGAUUAGAUACCCCAGUAGUC
rnacentral:rRNA from 1 species